GUGCCAGCAGCCGCGGUAAUACCGGCAGCACGAGUGAUGACCGCUAUUAUUGGGCCUAAAGCGUCCGUAGCUGGCCGCACAAGUCCAUCGGAAAAUCCACCCGCCCAACGGGUGGGCGUCCGGUGGAAACUGUGUGGCUUGGGACCGGAAGGCGCGACGGGUACGUCCGGGGUAGGAGUGAAAUCCUGUAAUCCUGGACGGACCGCCGGUGGCGAAAGCGCCUCAGGAGAACGGAUCCGACAGUGAGGGACGAAAGCCAGGGUCUCGAACCGGAUUAGAAACCCUCGUAGUCC
rnacentral:rRNA from 1 species